rnacentral:rRNA from 1 species
CAGCAGCCGCGGUAAUACGUAGGUGGCAAGCGUCGUCCGGAAUUAUUGGGCGUAAAGGGCUCGCAGGCGGUUUCUUAAGUCUGAUGUGAAAGCCCCCGGCUCAACCGGGGAGGGUCAUUGGAAACUGGGAAACUUGAGUGCAGAAGAGGAGAGUGGAAUUCCACGUGUAGCGGUGAAAUGCGUAGAGAUGUGGAGGAACACCAGUGGCGAAGGCGACUCUCUGGUCUGUAACUGACGCUGAGGAGCGAAAGCGUGGGGAGCGAACAGGAUUAGAUACCCCAGUAGUCCCUGUCUCUUAUAC